rnacentral:rRNA from 1 species
AGCGAACGCUGGCGGCAGGCUUAACACAUGCAAGUCGAGCGGGCAUCGUCAGAUGUCAGCGGCAGACGGGUGAGUAACACGUGGGAACGUGCCCUUCGGUUCGGAAUAACUCAGGGAAACUUGAGCUAAUACCGGAUACGCCCUUAUGGGGAAAGGUUUACUGCCGAAGGAUCGGCCCGCGUCUGAUUAGCUUGUUGGUGGGGUAACGGCCUACCAAGGCGACGAUCAGUAGCUGGUCUGAGAGGAUGAUCAGCCACACUGGGACUGAGACGCGGCCCAGACUCCUACGGGAGGCAGCAGUGGGGAAUAUUGGACAAUGGGCGCAAGCCUGAUCCAGCCAUGCCGCGUGAGUGAUGAAGGCCUUAGGGUUGUAAAGCUCUUUUGUCCGGGACGAUAAUGACGGUACCGGAAGAAUAAGCCCCGGCUAACUUCGUGCCAGCCGCCGCAGUAAAAC